UACGUAGGGUGCAAGCGUUAAUCGGAAUUACUGGGCGUAAAGCGUGCGCAGGCGGUUUUUUAAGCCAGCUGUGAAAUCCCCGGGCUUAACCUGGGAAUGGCAUUUGGGACUGCAAGGCUGGAGUUUGGCAGAGGAGACUGGAAUUCCCGGUGUAGCAGUGAAAUGCGUAGAUAUCGGGAGGAAUACCGAUGGCGAAGGCAGGUCUCUGGGCCACUACUGACGCUGAGAAGCGAAAGCAUGGGGAGCGAACAGG
rnacentral:rRNA from 1 species